CAAUACUGGAUGGUAGGCAAGGAUGAGAUUAUUCCCUUUUUACACAUAAUAAGGGGCUUCCCUGGUAGCUCAGAGGUUAAAGCGUCUGCCUGCAAUGCAGGAAACCCAGGUUCAAUCCCUGGGUCGGGAAGAUCCCCUGGAGAAGGAAAUGGCACCCCACUCCAGUACUCUUGCCUGGAGAAUCCCAUGGAGGGAGGAGCCUGGUAGGUCCCAGUCCAUGGGGUCGCAAAGAGUUGGACACGACUGAGCGACAAACUACUACUACUACUACUACAACUACUACCAUACAUAAUAAGAAAAGACUCCAAAGUUAAUUCCUUUCCUCAAGUCAAAUUGGAAGGAUUUACGGAAGAUGAACAAUGUUUUUUUGUUUCCUAUGUGGCUAUUGUUACUUUUUUAAAAUGGACCACUUUUUCAUGAAAAAUGCAAUAACGAAAGUCCAUUGACUAUAAUUUAUUGCAAAAUGUAGUAACUGGCUUGCUGUUGUUAUUACAUUUCUGCUGAAGAUGACAAAUAUUUUCACUUGUGUUUUCUGCACUGCUGUAUUUAUCUUUUUCUUGACAAUUAUGCUCUCUGCCCCCCACAAUAAGAAUCCUCCCUGUUUGUAGUUCAUAGAGCCCUUUCACAAGGAGCCUCAAAGAGCCUUUCUCGAGCUUUGGAAUUCACUCUUUCAGUUCGACAUCUUGGAAAAUGUCAGAAGUUCAAGAAAUCUUGACUGUGAAGUGACUUUCUUUUAUUCAUCAUAAAUGAACCCAUCUGAAUCAACCAUCAUCUUUCCUUCAAAAGGGGCAUAAGGAACAUGAAAGAGGUACUACUGAACUCUUAAAUUAAGGCUGACUGGAGUGAUACUAACAGCAUUCAGUGGAUAAAUACCCUUCAAUGCCCAACACAAUAAAGAAGUGACCCAUCCAAAAUGCCAAGAGUUGACUUCCCUGAUGGUCCAAUGGUUAAGAAUCCACUUGCCGAUGCAGAGUACAUGGGUUCAAUCCCUGUUCCAGGAGGAUUCCACAUUCUGUGGGGCAGUGGAGCCCACGCACCGCAACUACUGAACCAGCGUGCCCUAGAGCCCACAUUCCACAACAGGAGAAGCCGCUGCAAGAGAAGCCUGUGGACCACAACUGGAGAGUAGCCACCACUUGCCACAACUGGCGUAAGCAGUGAAGACCCAGCACAGCCGUAGAUAAAUGAAUAGAAUUUUUAAAUUUUAAAAACAUCUGCUUUAACAAUUAACAAACAAAAAACCCAAAAUGCCAAUGCUGCUUCUACUAAGAAACAUCUCACCCAUAGAGGCAAAGUAUCUAUUGCAUCCAACCCUGCUGCUUCUUCCCAUGCCUACCCCAAGUAUUGGUAAUCAAUGAGAGCACACUCCACUGAGUUGGACAUGGUUUCAAAAUCUUUCUCAACACAGCAAUCAAAGCAUGUUUUGUCCAUCAGAUUUGGCAUGGAAGACAAAACCCAUUUGCCAUUCUUGCCCUUACCUUUUUAAAACAAAGGAAGCA
ensembl:lncRNA